rnacentral:rRNA from 1 species
AAUAAUGGACAAUGGGCGAAAGCCUGACCUAGCCAGGCCGCGGGUGGGAAGAAGGUCUUCGGAUUGUAAAGCACUUUAAGUUGGGAGGAAGGGUUGUAGGUCAAUACCCUGCAAUUCUGACGUUACCAACAGAAUAAGCACCGGACAACGUCGUGCCAGCAGCCGCGCUCAUACGAAGGGUGCAAGCGUUAAUCGGAAUUACUGGGCGUAAAGCGCGCGUAGGUGGUUCGUUAAGUUGGAAGUGGAAGCCCCGGGCUUAACCUGGGAAUUGCUUUCAAAACUGACGAGCUAGAGUACGGUAGAGGGUAGUGGAAUUUCCUGUGUAGCGGUGAAAUGCGUAGAUAUAGGAAGGAACAUCAGUGGCGAAGGCGACUACCUGGACUGAUACUGACACUGAGGUGCGAAAGCGUGGGGAGCAAACAGG